GACCGGUGUUAUUCUGGCCAAUGCUGGGAUUGAUAUUGCAUUACAUGACACUUAUUACGUGGUUGCGCAUUUUCAUUAUGUGCUCUCUAUGGGUGCGGUCUUUGCUCUUUUUGCGGGUUUUUACUACUGGAUUGGUAAAAUUUCUGGUUACCAGUACCCAGAAGUUCUUGGCCAAAUUCAUUUUUGGUUAUUUUUUAUUGGGGUCAAUAUCACUUUUUUCCCUAUGCAUUUUCUAGGACUCGCUGGUAUGCCUCGACGUAUCCCAGAUUAUCCUGACGCGUUUGCAGGGUGGAAUUUGAUCUGUAGUUAUGGUUCUUAUUUAUCAAUUUUAGCCAGCCUCUUCUUUUUCUAUGUUGUUUACGCAACAUUAACACAAGGUGAAAAGUGUGGUAUUAACCCAUGGGCAGUGGAAGGUGAAUCAACAACGUCAACUUUAGAGUGGACGGUGGCGUCUCCUCCGGCUUUCCAUACUUUUGAAGAAAUUCCGGCGAUUAAGGAGCCUUCUUCACACCCUGUUUUACGUUAAUUAAUUCAGUUUUGGAAGAGCAAGGGGUCGAAAAAAUCGACCCCUUUUUUUACUCUAAAUCCUUUUUUGUCCAAAUUUCAGAAAGUGAGCUAACGCAUGAAAUCAGCCGCCUGGGGACUACGGCCGCAAGGCUAAAACCCAAAGGAAUUGACGGGGGCUUACACAAGCGGUGGAGCAUGUGGUUUAAUUCGAAACAACGCGCAAAACCUUACCAAUCCUUGACAUAUGAAAAACCAGGGUGUUUACCCGCUCUGUCUCUUUUAUACAGGUGCUGCAUGGCUGUCGUCAGUUCGUGGUGUGAGCUGUUGGGUUAAGUCCCAGAACGAACGCAACCCUCCUUUGAAAUGAAGGUUUACCUUUUUCAAAGACUGCCAAGGAUAUCUUGGAGGAAGGUGAGGAUGACGUCAAGUCCGCAUGGCCCUUAUGGGUUGGGCUACACACGUGCUACAAUGGGAAUGACAAAAGGAGGCAACAUGGCAACAUUGAGCAAAUCCCAAAAAGUUUCCUUAGUUCGGAUUGUUCUCUGCAACUCGAGAACAUGAAGUUGGAAUCGCUAGUAAUCGUAGAUCAGCACGCUACGGUGAAUUUGUAUCUAAGCCUUGUACACACCGCCCGUCACACUCUGAAAAUUUUCAUGCCUUGAAGCAAAAGAAAUUCGCAAUGAACACACAGCCAAAAAACAAAAGACCACACUUUCCUUCUUUUUAUCUGUGUCGUUGUUGGGUUCUUUUCUAGAGUUAGGAAGGUAAUUGGAGUGAAGUCGUAACAAGGUAGCUGUAGGGGAACCUGUAGCUG
rnacentral:rRNA from 1 species